rnacentral:rRNA from 1 species
GAGAAUCUGCCUAGAGGUCGGGGACAACCAUUGGAAACGAUGGCUAAUACCGGAUAUGCCUUACGGGGUGAAAGAUUAAUUGCCUUUAGAAGAGCUCGCGUCUGAUUAGCUAGUUGGUGAGGUAAGAGCUCACCAAGGCAGCGAUCAGUAGCUGGUCUGAGAGGAUGACCAGCCACACUGGGACUGAGACACGGCCCAGACUCCUACGGGAGGCAGCAGUGGGGAAUUUUCCGCAAUGGGCGAAAGCCUGACGGAGCAAGACCGCGUGAGGGAGGAAGGCUCUUGGGUUGUAAACCUCUUUCGUCAGGGAAGAACAAAAUGACGGUACCUGACGAAUCAGCAUCGGCUAACUCCGUGCCAGCAGCCGCGGUAAUACGGAGGAUGCAAGCGUUAUCCGGAAUUAUUGGGCGUAAAGCGUCCGCAGGUGGCUGAUCAAGUCUGCGGUCAAAGACCGGGGCUUAACCCUGGAAAGGCCGUGGAAACUGAUAAAGCUAGAGUACCGUAGGGGUAGAGGGAAUUCCCGGUGUAGCGGUGAAAUGCGUAGAGAUCGGGAAGAACAUCGGUGGCGAAAGCGCUCUACUGGACGGUGACUGACACUCAGGGACGAAAGCUAGGGGAGCGAAUGGGAUUAGAUACCCCAGUAGUCCUAGCCGUA